AACCUCCUGGCGCCCGCUUCCUGGCAACGAGGAAGUAAUGUCUUCUCAAAUUUCCCUGGGAGGAGUAAUUAAACUGAAUGAGCUGUGCCCCCAUCUUCCUCUGCAGCCAGUGCCCGGUGGGCCAGCCUUGGUGUCUGCAGAAUUCCCUGCUGUGGGAGACCCUGCCCAGGACCAGGGAUGCCACUGGAAGUGCAGGAGUUCUUCAAGGGCAGAGACCAUGGCUUGUUUAUCAGCAUGUGGCAAGGAGCCUGACUCAACACAUUGAAAGAAUAAGUGGAUGAAUGAAUGAAUGGACAGCUAGACAAGGAAAUAUAAUUAUGUCACAGUUAAAGACAGAAGUGGAAACAGGCCAUCAUAGGAGCAAAAAGGUAAGAGCACAUUGGGGGUGGCAAGGCGAAGGCUUCUCAUUGCCAUGGGGUGGGGCAGGGACAGAAGUCACAGGGGCACACUAUAAAAAGAACAUCUCUUUCAAACACUUCCUCCAUUUCAUGCUUCUCUGGAGAGUCAGCCAUGUGUGUGCUGAUAAGCUCUGUGGUUUGAUGUGGAAGAUGCGCUUGAGAAAAUGUGUGAUGAUGUAUCAAUGCCUGAAUGUGACAGCUGCCAUGCUCUUGUUCCGGCUGACCUAGCCUUCACUCCUCCUGGGGUGUGAGCGACUCAGGACAGUCUUGCCCCUGACGUAAAACCCUUGGAAAACGGAACUGGAAAGUACACAUUCCGCAUUUAUGAAUGAGGGCACGUUGGUUGGAAUGUCUCCACUACUGCACUGGAGACUUAUGGAUGUGGCUGCAGCCACUCUGACAGAUUCCUGGUCCUCAUUGAGGAAUCCAGCCUUCAGUAUGUUUAAUUUUCCUUGGUGAUAAGUGGCUGUGACAAUGCCUUAAGGCAAAACGAAAUAAGUCAUCUCAUAGUUGUGGAAGGAAGUAGACCUACUGAGCACCAGAUGGGACUGUCUCCCAAUCUCAUGUGGACCCAAAUGUGCAACUGCUAUUUCUCCCUCAGGCCUCACUUCCUAGGAGCCAUUUAUCCCACUGUCUGUUGAUGAUGUGAAACUUAUUUUUCUAUUUAUGAAACAGGCUUUUAAGAUGCUGUUCCCAGGAUGUGAGGGCUAUUUUUCUAUUCUUCUUCUUAAUGUUAGCAUUGCUCAUAAAAUUUAUGAGGCUCUUUAAAGAUUAUAAAUUACUUUUACAUAAUGAAAUUUGUGGUUGCUUAAUUCACUUUGUGCAAUAUGCCACACAGUAUCCUAUAUGAGGGGAAAUUUAAUACAUGCUAUCGGGGAUAAUAUGAUCAAGAACCACUAUUUUAUUGUUAACCCAGAUUUUUCCAUGUGCCAACUAUGGGCAAAGCUCUUUAUGUUAAAAUUUAACACAUAAAUUCACAGAGCUGAAUUGCUGGCGAUCUCCUUAUUUUAUUUUUGGACCCUGAUAAAAACUUUGCCCAUCUUUUAUUUAUGAGAAUAUAGUCUGCUUUUAAGAUAUCACUCUGGCAAUUUCCUCAGAGACCCACUAUAUAUUUAACUGAAUUCUCUUGGGCUGCAAUUCCAGCUACUGCAACUUGCUUCAUCUCUUCAUCCUCAGAGAAGAUGGUAGAGCAGGUAGUCGAUAGCCUCUGCAAGCAACUGUGUUCACCUCUGGGAGUAAGUAAUUUCUUUGAUCUUUCCAUGAACACUGUUUUCCAGAACUUUGUGGUUCACUUCUGCAGCCUGUCAGAUACCCUGAAGUCUUGAGGCCCAAAUGGAGGCAUAUUUAAGCAAAGCUCUUGCGACCUCUUGGAAAAGGCACUGUACUGUUCAUAUGUUUUAUGAUGAUCAAAUAUCAUAUAGCUUUAUUCCAUUUAUAACAAGGUAACUUGACAUAUUUCAUAGCAAUAAUGGCUACUAUUUAGAGAG